AUACAUACCGUAUAAAAUAUAAUAACAAUAUAAAAAUAUACAACGAAUCAAUAUUAAAUAAUAUGGACAAGUUUAAUGUACAUAUAAACGAAAUUAUACAAAAUAUAAAUAUGCAAAAUGAAUAUGUAAAUAUGCAUUUUAAAGAUUUUAAUGAAAAUAGAAUCAUGUCUAUUUAUACUAACCCUUGGGGUGAUGAAGCGUUGGAUAUAAAAGAUAUAAAUGAAGAAGUGCACAAAAUACGUACUUAUAUUGAAUCACUUAACGAUUAUGGUGACGGGCAUGGGGAUGGGGAUGAACAGGCACUUUUUGGACAAACGCAAACUGAAGAGUUAAACAAUCCAAACAAACUAGUUGACACAUACACAAGCGAAACGGAGGGCGAAAUGGAGGGCAAAGAGGAGGACAAAAAGGAUGACAAAAAGGAGGACAAAAAGGAGGACAAAAAGGAGGACAAAAAGGAGAACAAAAAGGAGGACAAAAAGGAGGACAAAAAGGAGGGCGAAACUUCUAACAAUAAAGUAUUUCUAAAUGGUAAUGAAAAUAGCCCAUAUAAAGAUUCGUACUUAUGUAAUAAUAAUAUAUAUAUAAAAAUAAAACAAAACGUACUAAAUGAUAUAAAAGAUAUUUCUUAUUCUAAUAACAUAAACUUUGAGUACUUGUUUGAUAAAAAAAUAAAUGAUGAUUUUAAUUUUAUAAUUAAUGACAAAGAACAAAAUGAAAAGGAUAGUUAUAAUAAAGGUCAGGAUGAAAAAAACGAUAAUAAAAGUAAAAAGUUAUUUCAUAAUAGCACCAGCGAAUGUAGCAGUAACAAUGUUGACGGUGGAGACUUUAGCAUGACAUAUUCAGAAAAAGAAAAAGAAAAAGAAUCACCUAAUUUAGUAAUAAACAAAAAUGAUUAUACAUUUAACAAUCAAUCUAAGGUAAAUAUAGUUAACUUACUAAACGAUACCCCUAAUGGAAUAGAUAAUCAGAGCUCUCAAAAAAAAAACACUUUUCUUGUAAAAAGAUUAAAUACGUAUACGAAUAAAACAAAUUUAAACUUGUCAACUAACAGUAUGUACAGUAGUACGAGGAACGAUAAUAGUAAUGAUAAUAGCAGUUAUGGUAAUAGAUAUAGUAGCAAUAGUUGCUACAACAAAAGAAAUAGUGAUGACAGGCUUAAUACAAACAACUGCGACAACAAUAAUAGCAGUAUCAACAAAAAGAAGAACUUAAAUAACGACACAACAAACAUUCGGACUAACAAUUAUAAUACUACAACACCUGAACAAAAAGUACCAACAGCAAAAAUAAAAAUAACAAACAAUAAUAAUAAUAAUAAUAAUAAUAAUAAUAAUAAUACUAAUUCAAAUCAAAACUUAUUUAUCUUAAAAAAAAUAAAAGAACAAAACAAUCAAGUUAAAUUUUCUAAGUAUCCUCGAAAAUCACAGACGUAGAUAUAAGUUAAAGAAGCAAAAUAACCUAGUCACGUUUAUGUAUAUGUGCAUGCAUGUAUGUAU
rnacentral:lncRNA from 1 species